GGAUAGCUCAAUUGGGUAGAGCGUGGUGCUGAUAAUGCCAAGGUUGCAGGUUUGAUCCCUGUAAGGGACA
rnacentral:tRNA from 1 species